GACGAACGCUGGCGGCGUGCUUAACACAUGCAAGUCGAACGAAGAGCGAUGGAAGCUUGCUUCUAUCAAUCUUAGUGGCGAACGGGUGAGUAACGCGUAAUCAACCUGCCCUUCAGAGGGGGACAACAGUUGGAAACGACUGCUAAUACCGCAUACGAUCUAAUCUCGGCAUCGAGGAUAGAUGAAAGGUGGCCUCUACAUGUAAGCUAUCACUGAAGGAGGGGAUUGCGUCUGAUUAGCUAGUUGGAGGGGUAACGGCCCACCAAGGCGAUGAUCAGUAGCCGGUCUGAGAGGAUGAACGGCCAAAUUGGGACUGAGACAAGGCCCAGACUCCUACGGGAGGCAGCAGUGGGGAAUCUUCCGCAAUGGACGAAAGUCUGACGGAGCAAAGCCGCGUGAGUGAUGACGGCCUUCGGGUUGUAAAGCUCUGUUAAUCGGGACGAAAGGCCUUCUUGCGAACAGUUAGAAGGAUUGACGGUACCGGAAUAGAAAGCCACGGCUAACUACGUG
rnacentral:rRNA from 1 species